CUACAAAUCCGCGCUACCGCUGGAGCUCAGGCUCGGGAGGAAAGUCCGGACAGCACAGUGCAACGCACCACCUAACGGGUGGGUAUGCGGCAACGCAUAACAGCCAGUGCCACAGAAAAUAACCGCUUCUGCUUGCAGAUAGUAAGGGUGAAAAUGUGCGGUAAAAGCGCACGAUAGUAUCAGGCAACUAAUAUUAUGGGUAAACCUUGCGUGCUGAAAUGCCCAAUAGGCAAGCGCUUAGGACUGCACGUCCAAUGCUUGCGGGUAGGCAGAUACAGUCUUGCAGCGAUGUAAGGCGUAGAUAAAUGGUAGCGGCUUCUCUUCGGAGAAGUACAAAAUCCGGCUUACAGGAUUUGUAGUUUU
rnacentral:RNase_P_RNA from 1 species